rnacentral:lncRNA from 1 species
AAAAUUUUCUCCUGUUCUGUAGGUUGCCUGUUCACUCUGUUGAUAGAGUCUUCUGCUGUGCAGAAGCUGUUUAAUGUAAUUAUGUCCCAUUUGUCAAUUUUUGCUUUUGUUGCAAUUGCUUUUGAUGUUUUUAUCAUGAAAUAUUUGCUAAUGCCUAUGUUCUGAAUGGUAUUGCCUAGAUUUUCUUCUAGGGCUUUUAUAGUUUUGGGUUUUACAUUUAAGUCUUUAAUGUAUCUUGUGUUAAUUUUUGUAUAAGGUGUAAGGAAAGGGUCCAGUUUCAGUUUUCUGCAUUUGGGUGGCCAUGAACUGUAAUGACUUCCAAGGAAGGAGACACAAAAUACAGCUGCAUUUAAAAUGAUUAAACAAAGGAAGGCGUGUGGAACACUCAACAUUGUGGGAAAACAUGUAGAUUUUGGAUACACUGGAUAAUCUUAAUGCAAUGUGACUUCGUAGUCCGAGAUGACUUCUGGAAUUCAAGACAUCUCAUGGACAUUCUAGACUUCAGAAAGAAGGAAGAUUUGGAGGUCAUGCUACUCUUCAAGAGAUUUUCCAGAGAUGCUGAAGUAGAGGGAAAAAGUGAAAGGCAGGAGGUGCUCACUUUUUCCCUGAGCAAGAGGAAAGGCAACUUCCCUCAGUUCUUAUGGAAUAAAAAGUGCAGGCCAUUCAAAGUCUGCCUUCAACAGAGAGAAAGAGGAAUCACUUUCUUGAGCACUUUUUUUCUCAUUCCUGUCUCCUUGCUCCUGUCUGGGAUUAGGCUUGACCUUUUAGUAUUUCUUUGUAACAAGGAACUGGAAAAUAAAGAUUAAAACAUGGUGGGAAAUGAGGGAUACUAAGAUGUGUUGAACGGUGGGGCAAUCAAACAGCUGUUGAGUUGGAGAGAGAAAGCUGGAUCAUAUCAGAGUGGAUGCUAUCAAAAGAGUUAUGAGCUUAACAUGACAGAAAAUUGCAUGUUCUUGAAAUAUGCCAUUACAAAAUGUCAGCCUGACAUUAAGCUGCUUUAUAGAGGUAUCAUGUCCCUAAAUAGCCUGGUGAUUAUUCGUGUCCCUGGAGCUCUACUUUCCUCCCUGAUUUUGUAAUACCUUGGCUUGUCUUUAAUCACUGCAGAGUGUCACCAUCUUAGAAAAAUUCUUAAAAGAAAAUUAAUUUUGAUUUCCAUUGAUGUCCUAGAGAGUUUUUUUUUUUUUUUUUUUUUUUUUUUUUUUUUUUUAAUAGCUGGGAUGGAGAUGCAGCCUUCUGUCCCACAAUGACAGGAGGUAGCAGUUUCCUGUAAGGGUAAGGAUCCUACUUUGACCACCCUUAAAAAACAAAAGCAUUUUCUAUAUGCCCAUUAUGUGUUAAGCACUUUACAUGCAUUAUCUCAUUUAAUUCUCAUAAAACCUAUAAGGUAAGUUCUAUUAUUAGACUCAUUGAAAUUGAAGUACAGAGAGACCAAGUGACUUGCCCAAGUCACUCAGCUGGCUAGUCAGUACUAAAAUGGAAAUUUUAACCCAGGCAGAUUGAUUCUGGAGCCUAUUCUUAGGUAGUUACACUGCUUUCCUCAAGGACCAUGUUCCAUUGAGAGGCUUAAGUUGGGAAGAUAAGGUAAAUUAUUAUGAAAUAUUUAUAGAAAGGACAAAAGAGAGCAAGAGAUAACGCAUUCCACCUUUGUCUUUAGAAUGGUGUGAUUAAGAAAACAAAAAAACCUGGGCUGGGCUUUAUACAUUAAGAGAACAUUCUAAUAAAUGCUACUGCCACCAGAAAAAAAAAAAAAAAAGAAGAGAUUAUUCUUGCAUAAGGAGAGGCAACAGGAAGUGUGAAUGAGGAGCACAAAUGUGGAAAGUAAAGCUGUUUAAAAAGGAAAGCAGCUGCAAACUUCCCAUCUGCAGUGUUUGUUUGUCUCGGCUCCGGCCAUCACUGCCACGAUUACCCCUGGAUGAAUUCCUCAGUGGAAAUAUCAACAAGGUUAGAAGGAAUAACAUCUCAAGACUGGAUUUGUCAUUGAAAGGUUGAAGACUCAGAUUGACCCCUCCAAUACUGCAGGAAAGUGGUGAGUGUUCUCGGUCACCACAGGCAUAAAUUAAUGAGGCCGUGUUUCCAAACCUUGCAACCCACCCCUUUAUCCUAGUCUAUAAUUUAUUGGAAAGAUAAAGAACAUUUGAUUGAACCCAUAAACACCCUUGAUGAUCAUAUUAGCAUUUCCUUGAGUCUUUCUAUAAUUUCUUCCCCUUUCUGGUUGUUUGAGAGAAAGAGUGCAGCCCUUCCUUUGCCUUGCCAGGAAUUACAAAGGUUAUCUUCUUAACAGAUUAUAUUUGAAGAGUGAAAGGGCACACUUUUAGUCAUUCACUUGGGACAACAGGCAUAAACUGGGUUGUAUGAUCACCUGAGAUUAGCUUUUUCUUUUAAAGAGGAAACACUUCCAAUAGAAAACAGUUGCUCUUCAGCCUCACUCUUUUUUAAAGAAGAGUCUGUUAUCCCAGGUGGCUUAAUGAGCCACCCCAUACAUCUGCUUUCCACCUUCCUGAAUUUACUUCCUUGAGAGUCAAGAGCAGACUCUUAGGAUGUCAGCACAACAGCUCUUUCUGUUACUCACUCACUCACUCACUUCUCUGCAUCAUCCAUCGUUGCUACCUAUAGCUUCUUCCUCAAGGUCCUUCCCUUUGUUUCUAACAUUGUGCUCUUCUGACUCUUCUAUUUUGAAUAACCUCUUCCAUCUUUUGUUCUUUUUGUAAUUGCUCUACUACUCAU